ACAAUUUUGUAAACAACACAGAAUGACAGAACCAAGUGCUGUUUGCGGUGUUUUUUUCCUGUUGAUGACAAUGUUGUUGGCUCGGGGUGAAAUACAAAGUAAUGAAGAAGAUAUAGUUCAGUUUUGGAACACAACUGAACUCAUAUGAACUACUUUCACCACAUCCCGGGAGCGGCACUUCUGCAAGGUUGACCGGAAAGUGGAUAUCAAUGAGUGCAACAUUACCUUUUACAGAGGACACAUAGAGCACAGGAGGUGGCACAUUGAAAAUUAUGACAGGACAUUUCGUCACUUUUAUAUUGAAUCAGCUGCCGUGUUCGACGCUGUGAAAAUUAGAUCAGCGGGUCGACGUGCAAGGGCAACCGAGGUACUGCAGUACCAAAGUAAUGACAGUACAUGCGCCGUGUUUUGGAUACUAACUUCUGAUAGAUAUCAGUUGACACCGUCCUAUGACCUUCGAAUAAAGGAUCCGUAUAUCAAGAAAAAUUCUUCUCAAAACAGCAAAUGCUGGAAACCCUUCGAGGGAAUGCUACGAGGCAGAAAAAAAUACCGAAGGUAUUACCGCAACUGCCAAGCUGUUCUCCACAGCACACUUAGGAGUAAUACGAAGGGGCCUGAAUAAAGAAAACGCAUU